rnacentral:rRNA from 1 species
GGGCCCGCACAAGCGGUGGAGUAUGUGGUUUAAUUCGAUGCAACGCGAAGAACCUUACCAGGGUUUGACAUCCUGCGAAUCUCUUGGAAACGAGAGAGUGCCUUCGGGAACGCAGUGACAGGUGGUGCAUGGCUGUCGUCAGCUCGUGUCGUGAGAUGUUGGGUUAAGUCCCGCAACGAGCGCAACCCACGUCUUUAGUUGCCAGCAUUUAGUUGGGCACUCUAGAGAGACCGCCGGUGAUAAACCGGAGGAAGGUGUGGAUGACGUCAAGUCAUCAUGCCCCUUACAUCCUGGGCUACACACGUACUACAAUGCUACGGACAAAGGGCAGCUAUCCCGCGAGGGAAUGCAAAUCUCGAAAGUCUAUCUCAGUUCGGAUUGGAGUCUGCAACUCGACUCUAUGAAGGUGGAAUCGCUAGUAA